CUACGAGUGGGUUGUGCACAGUGAUUGCUGCAUUGUGCAAUUUAAGAAUACAAACAUUCAGAAAUAUAUUGAAAGAAAAGGGUCAUUUAUUUUAAAUAAAAGAUUACACGUAUUAUAGCCCCUAUGUGUAUUAUUUUGUACUGCGUGCAUAGAAGUAAAUGCCUCUGUUAAUGUGUACGCUUGGUCUCUGGGAGCGGCCAUAUUGUCAGUUCUCUUUUGUCAGAAGCACAUUACUUCCAACCAAAAACCACGCACAUAAUCAUGAGUUAGAGUGUGUUUCAUAAUACUGCCAUCAUUUGCAGGCACAAGACAUCUCAAGACAUUUUCUGAGUCAGUUUCAAACCUUACGAUAAGAGAUCUAAAAUGGCCACCCCCUACAGAGCAAGGGUAAGCCAGGAAAUGAGUUAACUCUAAUGAGUUAACAUAUAGAUAUGAUUUACAAAAUAAUGCACACAGAGGCAAUAUUACAUGCAAUCUGUUAUUUUCAGUUAUAAUAAAAAAAUAAAUAAUAAUAAUUAUGAGCAAUGUACUUCAGAGCGGAACUAACUUCACUCGUCUUCCAUAAAAAGGCCUAUGUACACCACUGACAUCUGAAAGCAAUCCAAACAGAUACAAAGGAACUAUUCUGUGCAAUGCGGGUCUCUGAAAACAGUAAAACAAGGCAAAUCCUGAAUAUAUAUUAAUUUCUGACUGUUGUGCCUUAACCAUAUCCCAUAAACUGUCACGCAGGAAGAGACAUCUUGUCGCACGGUACACAAUAGAUUCUUUGGGGCUUCCAUGUCGAUGCGUGUAAAGACCUGUGUGGGUCUUGUCAUUUUAAAUCGUUGUAUUGUAGUUCUAGAGUACAGUGGUGAUACAGUCCCGGGCCGCCUCACCAAACCCUGCAUGGAGUUGGUGGAGAAAGAUUUAGCAACCAAUUGAAGAGGGGUGGGGGGGAAAAGCACAAAACAGAAUUGUCAAGUGAAUUUUUUGCACAGCAAUAAGUAGUGUAUGAACUGGCACAGCUAGAGGAUGGCAUGUAAAUUAAUUCACCCCCUGCGGUGGCGUACGUUCAUACACAGAGAAAUUAAAGGAAUCUCUGAGUGUGGUCAUGUUCCAUUUCUUUGCAAAUGUCUGGGCAGUCACUCUGAAGACAAAAGUGCUGCAGAGGUAAGUACAUAUUACCUCCCUGUACUAUGAACCCAGUAAAUGCCUCAAUGCUGUAUGCUGGUGUGAGGGUAUGAGUCCAGCGUAUGGGUGAAGGAACCGCUACACUGGGCCAACAGUAGAGAGACCAUAGAAGGAACCUCACAUCAUAGAGAAGCCACAAUCCAUUAAAGCGACAUAAAAUAGGAAGUUUGCAAGAGACUUUAUACUUUAAACAUCUAAACCGGAAACACCUCCUUGUAUGGCACCCCUGUUGGGAAAUACAUCAGUAUGUACUGCAUAACAUGUAUAUAAUUAGCACUUGAGCUGUAGAUGGCGCUGUGCAUUUCAGAGUACCGUUUAUAUAUGAUAAGAACUUCCUUCCUGUAUGUCUCUCUUCCUUUUACCCUGCUGGCUGCUGUUUUAAGUAACUAAAAUGUUAUAACCGUGUGCUGUUUAUCCACACAAGUAAAGCCUAACACGCUUCUUCACAAUCUGCCAGUGUCUCUUUUUGAUGCAUAACCAACAACCCCAACAACCACCGUCCCCCAACAAUAUCUCUGUCUACGUUCAAGAUUAUUAGUUUUGCUGAUUAAUGCAGUCAGUUAUCCUCGUUCUCAGCAGAUACUCUAAAAUCGGUGUUUGUGAUCAUAGAGUACCUCCCUGGACAUCUUAAGGAAGGGAGGACAUGACUGCUGGCAGGGAUAAGGGGUUGGGUCACAAGGGGAUACAUUGUUACACAUGGGGGGACAUUAAGAUGGGGAAAAAGGGGAGGGUACUCACCAGUUCCUGGGCAGAGGUGUAGUGUUGCUAGCUUCCCCUGGG
rnacentral:lncRNA from 1 species